rnacentral:lncRNA from 1 species
GAGACACCGGAGACACCCUUUUGCCUUCUUCCAGCCUUUUUGCCUUUUGCCUUCCUCCAGCCAUUUUAGGAAGGGACUGCCUACCCUCUCUAGGUCCACAAUCCACCUGGCUCUGCAUUUCCCAGUAGAGUGAUCCAGAUGGUUCCAAGAAGUGACAAGUUGAAGGUCAUGAUCCUUUUGCUGACACAGAGCCUGGCACAUGGAGGCACCAAAUGCAUGUUAGUCUAGGCACUGUGGAGGAGCUCAGAUUGUGUUUGUUGAUUGACUGAGUGAGCAAAUGAAGAACGACUAAACCAAGCACAAAGCUGGGCGUCCUAAGGUGGAGCUGGGCUAAGGAAAGUGACUGUCUCUAGGGCCUUCACAAUUGAGGCAGGACCUUAUCCACCAUUUGACCAGGGUGAGGAACUGUGCAGGGCACCCAGGUGUGACCCAACCAUG